rnacentral:rRNA from 1 species
AACGCGAAGAACCUUACCGGGGCUUGACAUCCUGCGCUAUCCCAAGAGAUUGGGUUUCCGGGUAACCGGACGCAGAGACAGGUGCUGCAUGGCUGUCGUCAGCUCGUGCCGUGAGGUGUUGGGUUAAGUCCCGCAACGAGCGCAACCCUUGCCGUGUGUUGGUCGCAAGAUCUCUCACGCGGGACCGCCGGUGACAAGCCGGAGGAAGGUGGGGAUGACGUCAAGUCAGCAUGGCCCUUACGUCCCGGGCUACACACGUGCUACAAUGGGAGGGACAACGAGUCGCGAACCCGCGAGGGCAAGCUAAUCUCAUAAACCCUCUCUCAGUUCGGAUUGAAGGCUGCAACUCGCCUUCAUGAAGUCGGAAUCGCUAGUAACCGUAGAUCAGCUACGCUGCGGUGAAUACGUUCCCGGGCCUUGUA